rnacentral:rRNA from 1 species
CCUACGGGGUGCACCAGUGGGGAAUAUUGCACAAUGGGCGCAAGCCUGAUGCAGCCAUGCCGCGUGUAUGAAGAAGGCCUUCGGGUUGUAAAGUACUUUCAGCGAGGAGGAAGGCGUUAAGGUUAAUAACCUUGGCGAUUGACGUUACUCGCAGAAGAAGCACCGGCUAACUCCGUGCCAGCAGCCGCGGUAAUACGGAGGGUGCAAGCGUUAAUCGGAAUUACUGGGCGUAAAGCGCACGCAGGCGGUCUGUUAAGUCAGAUGUGAAAUCCCCGGGCUCAACCUGGGAACUGCAUUUGGAACUGGCAGGCUUGUGUCUUGUAGAGGGGGGUAGAAUUCCAGGUGUAGCGGUGAAAUGCGUAGAGAUCUGGAGGAAUACCGGUGGCGAAGGCGGCCCCCUGGACAAAGACUGGCGCUCAGGUGCGAAAGCGUAGGGAGCAAAUAGGAUUAGAUACCCGCGUAGUC